ACCGCUGCCGCAAGAACACUUUGAACGAUCUUUGUGCUCAUCCCUUUGUAGAAGCCAUGGAGACCUUCAUAGUGUAUCAUCUUUAGAAUUGCAUCCAACGUGCCUAUGGGGAAACACGGUUUCAGUAAAGACGUAAAGGGUCCAACCAUGUUUAAAGACUCUACCCAAGAUAGAGAGACCCAAAUCAACUCUACCCAUGUGGCAGAAACAGUUGAUUGAAAUAUUAAACGCAUAAAUAUCAGGUUUGAUUUCUAAGGUUUCCAGGCGGUGAAUAAGGGAGAUGACAACUGGGUAAUGAUGAUUCGUGUUAACAAUGCGAGUUAAUAACUUGCAGAAGUGUUUGAUUGAGGGGAGAGGUUGUUGGUGAACAAAUUGGUUGAAUAAAACGAGUUCAUCGUAUAAAGCAAGGUCGUUUUGUUGGUUAAUUUUACUCAUGGAAAGGUGUCGAGAAAAUGGGAUGAUUACAGGGGAAUUGAAAAGGGUUUGAAGCAAAUUACGAGGUGGUUUUAAAGGAGAAGGAUUCAUGAUUAUGUGUUCAUCUAGAUGGUUUUAUUUAUUUAAAGCAAUUUAAUUCAUUGCUUAUGUCCUGUUAUUUUAUUAAAAGAAAAGUGAUAUGAAGCAGCUUCGGUUUGGCUGAAGGUGGCAGUGGUGGUUGUGGUGGUGGCUGGAGGUGGCAGUCGUUGGAGAAGAUGACCGGAGUUGCAGGUUUCCGGUGACGGAAGUAGUGGUGGUGUUAUAUAUGAAAGGGAUAUUAAGUUGUGGUGGUGGCUGGAGGUGGCAGUGGUGGUUGUGGUGGUGAAUGGCGGUGGCAGUGGUGGCAGUGGUGGCAGGGGGUAAUAUCACAGAGUGCACAAAAACACAGGGAGUAAUAUGAAAGGGCAUUAUAGUCAUUUCAAGUUAUAGUCAACAGAUUAGUCAACAAAUCUGAGGCCGGGGGGUAAGGUUGCAACAUAACAGCAAACAGUGGGGGGUAAAAUUGCAAUUAUUUCCUUAGGGGGGUAAGGGUGCCAAUCACCCCUAACCACAGGGUGUAAAAUUGCAGUUUACUCUAACUCUUAUCUUUAUUAGUGGGCAAGAAUAGAAUGGAAGGAAAGUGGGAAACUGGUGUUAACUUGGUUCAUAGAUGGAAAGCAUUUUAAAAUACAAGUUCGUCAUACGUUUCUUACACUCCAAGCAACACAAAUUACAAACUUGAUAAUAGUACGAAGAGAGUACCCAGACAUAGCAGCCACCAUGAGUGAUGAAAGCAUACCGACUGAUCCAUCUCCAGAUCCUUCCUUCUUAAGUUUAAGUGCAGCUGCUUCAGCCUUGCUCCUGAAUAUUUGAUAGAAAUAAUAGUAAACACCCUGUAGCAUACAAAUAGGAUGAUAAGAAUCAGGCAUUUAGGGACUAAAUGUGUCUUCAAUCUUUAUACUUAUAACAAGAUUUUAAUGAGUUAUUUACUCACUUAGUUUACCUACAAGGCUACAAAUUUAGUAACUUCAAGGAGAUGCAUGUGACAGCAAAAUCAAGCAGUCACAUAGGCGAACAGUGAUCAUAUGGUAUACUGUAUACAUUGCCUAACGUAUUUGGUUAAUGUUCUUAAUCAUGUUUAAAUUUGAAACAAGUUAUCAAAUACCCAUGUGGGAAGAGCUUAUUAGAACCAUAAAAGGCUGCACGAUGUUUGCUUCUUAUGGAGGGGGCGGCCGACCCCCCAAACUUUUUGCUCAGUAGUGGAGAGUAUGUAGUUUUCGUAUAGAAAUUUUUGGGUAUAUACGUUUUCGACCCCCCGGUUUUAUAGAAAUUUUUAGGUCCAGUGACUUCCGUCUCCCCGGUCGGAAAUCUCAAACUUCGCCACUGCUAAUGUAUUGUCUUAUAAAUGUCACAUUGACUAUACUACCAAGUGUUUCUUGGAAUUUAAAUUGUAGUUAAUGAAAAAAAAAACUACUUGAUCAAACUA